rnacentral:rRNA from 1 species
ACACUCCUGCGGGAGGCAGCAGUGGGGAAUAUUGGACAAUGGGCGCAAGCCUGAUCCAGCCAUGCCGCGUGAGUGAUGAAGGCCCUAGGGUUGUAAAGCUCUUUCACCGGUGAAGAUAAUGACGGUAACCGGAGAAGAAGCCCCGGCUAACUUCGUGCCAGCAGCCGCGGUAAUACGAAGGGGGCUAGCGUUGUUCGGAUUUACUGGGCGUAAAGCGCACGUAGGCGGACUAUUAAGUCAGGGGUGAAAUCCCGGGGCUCAACCCCGGAACUGCCUUUGAUACUGGUAGUCUUGAGUUCGAGAGAGGUGAGUGGAAUUCCGAGUGUAGAGGUGAAAUUCGUAGAUAUUCGGAGGAACACCAGUGGCGAAGGCGGCUCACUGGCUCGAUACUGACACUGAGGUGCGAAAGCGUGGGGAGCAAACAGGAUUAGAAACCCUGGUAGUCCCAUGA